rnacentral:rRNA from 1 species
UACGGAGGGAGCUAGCGUUAUUCGGAAUUACUGGGCGUAAAGCGUACGUAGGCGGCUUUGCAAGUUAGAGGUGAAAGCCUGGAGCUCAACUCCAGAACUGCCUUUAAAACUGCAUCGCUUGAAUCCAGGAGAGGUGAGUGGAAUUCCGAGUGUAGAGGUGAAAUUCGUAGAUAUUCGGAAGAACACCAGUGGCGAAGGCGGCUCACUGGACUGGUAUUGACGCUGAGGUACGAAAGCGGGGGGAGCAAACAGG